AGAGUUUGAUCAUGGCUCAGGACGAACGCUGGCGGCGCGCCUAACACAUGCAAGUCGAACGAGAGAUGAGGAGCUUGCUCUUCAAAUCGAGUGGCGAACGGGUGAGUAACGCGUGAAGAACCUGCCUCAAAGAGGGGGACAACAGUUGGAAACGACUGCUAAUACCGCAUAAGCCCACGGCUCGGCAUCGAGCAGAGGGAAAAGGAGCAAUCCGCUUUGAGAUGGCCUCGCGUCCGAUUAGCUAGUUGGUGAGGUAACGGCCCACCAAGGCGACGAUCGGUAGCCGGACUGAGAGGUUGAACGGCCACAUUGGGACUGAGACACGGCCCAGACUCCUACGGGAGGCAGCAGUGGGGAAUAUUGCACAAUGGGGGAAACCCUGAUGCAGCGACGCCGCGUGGAGGAAGAAGGUCUUCGGAUUGUAAACUCCUGUUGUUGAGGAAGAUAAUGACGGUACUCAACAAGGAAGUGACGGCUAACUACGUGCCAGCAGCCGCGGUAAAACGUAGGUCACAAGCGUUGUCCGGAAUUACUGGGUGUAAAGGGAGCGCAGGCGGGAGAACAAGUUGGAAGUGAAAUCCAUGGGCUCAACCCAUGAACUGCUUUCAAAACUGUUUUUCUUGAGUAGUGCAGAGGUAGGCGGAAUUCCCGGUGUAGCGGUGGAAUGCGUAGAUAUCGGGAGGAACACCAGUGGCGAAGGCGGCCUACUGGGCACCAACUGACGCUGAGGCUCGAAAGUGUGGGUAGCAAACAGGAUUAGAUACCCUGGUAGUCCACACCGUAAACGAUGAUUACUAGGUGUUGGAGGAUUGACCCCUUCAGUGCCGCAGUUAACACAAUAAGUAAUCCACCUGGGGAGUACGACCGCAAGGUUGAAACUCAAAGGAAUUGACGGGGGCCCGCACAAGCAGUGGAGUAUGUGGUUUAAUUCGACGCAACGCGAAGAACCUUACCAAGUCUUGACAUCCCUUGACGAUGCUGGAAACAGUAUUUCUCUUCGGAGCAAGGAGACAGGUGGUGCAUGGUUGUCGUCAGCUCGUGUCGUGAGAUGUUGGGUUAAGUCCCGCAACGAGCGCAACCCUUAUGGUCAGUUACUACGCAAGAGGACUCUGGCCAGACUGCCGUUGACAAAACGGAGGAAGGUGGGGAUGACGUCAAAUCAUCAUGCCCUUUAUGACUUGGGCUACACACGUACUACAAUGGCGUUAAACAAAGAGAAGCAAGACCGCGAGGUGGAGCAAAACUCAGAAGCAACGUCCCAGUUCGGACUGCAGGCUGCAACUCGCCUGCACGAAGUCGGAAUUGCUAGUAAUCGUGGAUCAGCAUGCCACGGUGAAUACGUUCCCGGGCCUUGUACACACCGCCCGUCACACCAUGAGAGCCGGGGGGACCCGAAGUCGGUAGUCUAACCGC
rnacentral:rRNA from 1 species